rnacentral:rRNA from 1 species
GAGUUUGAUCUUGGCUCAGAUUGAACGCUGGCGGCAUGCCUUACACAUGCAAGUCGAACGGCAGCACGGGAGCUUGCUCCUGGUGGCGAGUGGCGAACGGGUGAGUAAUGCAUCGGAACGUAUCCUGGAGUGGGGGAUAACGUAGCGAAGUUACGCUAAUACCGCAUAUUCUGUGAGCAGGAAAGCGGGGGACCUUCGGGCCUCGCGCUCUUGGAGCGGCCGAUGUCGGAUUAGCUAGUUGGUGAGGUAAAGGCUCACCAAGGCGACGAUCCGUAGCAGGUCUGAGAGGAUGAUCUGCCACACUGGAACUGAGACACGGUCCAGACUCCUACGGAGGCAGCAGUGGGAAUUUUGGACAAUGGGGGCAACCCUGAUCCAGCCAUGCCGCGUGAGUGAAGAAGGCCUCGGUG